rnacentral:sRNA from 1 species
UUGGUAGUGUCAGAGAAAUGAAAUCAUCCAAUUAUCCACAGUACUGAUACAGUGCAGAUGGCAGCAGGGCAAGCUUCCCCACAUUGCCCUAACCGUGUUUUCACCCCUUUAUAUCUAGCAGUGAAAGGGUAAUUCCGCCUCCAUACCCAUUAAACCUUGGCCUCA